UGUAGAGAAGCUUGAAGUUGUGGAAUGUGACUUGGAGAAGCCAGAUCAGAUAAGGCCAGCCUUAGCCAAUGCUUCUGUGGUUAUAUCUGCAUUGGUGCAAGCGAAAAGGAAGUUUUUGAUGUGACGGGCCCAUACAGAAUUGACUAUAUGGCUACGAAGAACCUCAUUGAUGCAGCAACUUCGGCCAAAGUUAACCACUUCAUCAUGGUUUCAUCUUUGGGAACAAACAAGGUCGGAUUUCCUGCGGCUAUACUGAAUUUGUUCUGGGGAGUGUU